UGGCUUAUCCUUUCGGCAGAUGAAGACAGUGAGGCACAGAGACCAGGGAAUUGUGAGGCUAUGGUUAGGACGUAGUUUGUUAGACUGAAAGCGAAACUCGCACUUUCAAUUUCCUUCAUGCUAAGAGAAGUGACCUUACAACUGAAAGUCAAGAGAUGAAAGCCUAGUAGAUUUGAUAAAGAUGGUUACUUUUUACUGCGAGACCUCAUCAAGAUAAUCUGGGCAUUAAAGAUGCUGUUUGCAUGUGCUGCGGGAGAAGAUCGUAGCGCUGCUAACGCUUCUAUGUUGGAGGGUAUUUCAGCACUUUCUGUGGACGUGCCUCUGAUUUCCAAAGAAACUGAUUUAAAUUGAGGAUGGAUUCUCUUGGG
rnacentral:lncRNA from 1 species